GAAAGCGUGGGUAGCAANCAGGAUUAGAUACCCUGGUAGUCCACGCCCUAAACGAUGUCGAUUAGCUGUUGGGCAACUUGAUUGCUUAGUAGCGUAGCUAACGCGUGAAAUCGACCGCCUGGGGUGUACGGUCGCAAGAUUAAAACUCAAAGGAAUUGACGGGGACCCGCACAAGCGGUGGAUGAUGUGGAUUAAUUCGAUGCAACGCGAAGAACCUUACCUGGUCUUGACAUGUACGGAAGAACUCAGAGACGAGUUUGUGCCUUCGGGAGCCGUAACACAGGUGCUGCAUGGCUGUCGUCAGCUCGUGUCGUGAGAUGUUGGGUUAAGUCCCGCAACGAGCGCAACCCUUGUCAUUAGUUGCCAUCAUUUAGUUGGGCACUCUAAUGAGACUGCCGGUGACAAACCGGAGGAAGGUGGGGAUGACGUCAAGUCCUCAUGGCCCUUAUGACCAGGGCUUCACACGUCAUACAAUGGUCGGUACAGAGGGUAGCCAAGCCGCGAGGUGGAGCCAAUCCCAGAAAACCGAUCGUAGUCCGGAUUGCACUCUGCAACUCGAGUGCAUGAAGUCGGAAUCGCUAGUAAUCGCAGGUCAGCAUACUGCGGUGAAUACGUUCCCGGGUCUUGUACACACCGCCCGUCACACCAUGGGAGUGGGGGAUACCAGAAGU
rnacentral:rRNA from 1 species